ACUAGGGAGAUGGUUUUCGCU
rnacentral:miRNA from 1 species